UACGUAGGGUGCGAGCGUUAAUCGGAAUUACUGGGCGUAAAGCGUGCGCAGGCGGUUGUGCAAGACAGAUGUGAAAUCCCCGAGCUCAACUUGGGAACUGCGUUUGAAACUACAAGACUAGAAUAUGUCAGAGGGGGGGUAGAAUUCCACGUGUAGCAGUGAAAUGCGUAGAGAUGUGGAGGAAUACCAAUGGCGAAGGCAGCCCCCUGGGAUAAUAUUGACGCUCAUGCACGAAAGCGUGGGGAGCAAACAGG
rnacentral:rRNA from 1 species